rnacentral:tRNA from 1 species
GGGAGUGUAGCUCAGUGGUUAGAGCACCAUUCUUAUAAAUUGGCGGUCGAUGGUUCGAUUCCAUCCACUCCUACCA